rnacentral:rRNA from 1 species
UACGUAGGGUGCGAGCGUUAAUCGGAAUUACUGGGCGUAAAGCGUGCGCAGGCGGUUUUGUAAGCCAGAUGUGAAAUCCCCGGGCUUAACCUGGGAAUGGCAUUUGGGACUGCAAGGCUUGAGUGCGGCAGAGGAGACUGGAAUUCCUGGUGUAGCAGUGAAAUGCGUAGAUAUCAGGAGGAAUACCGAUGGCGAAGGCAGGUCUCUGGGCUGACACUGACGCUCAUGCACGA